AGGUGUGGCCUGCCGCAUAGUCCACGCGUUUGAGACAAGUUUCCAUCUGGCUGCCACUGUCAUCCUUCCAAAUAUCCCGUUAUUAAUCUCUUCGGAAUGAUGGAGACUGCUGCUCGUUAUUCGGCCGAAUGGAUAAGCACCAGCUCGUCAUGAUCAUCUCCUCCAUACCGGGAAACCAACAGGUUUGUGCCGACACCGAACAUCCACAGAUUCAAUAUGGUUAUUGCUGCUCCUGGUUUCUCCAUCUGAAAUCGGCAAUCAAGAUAAAUGUGAUAGAGAUGAAAACCACCACUGAAAUAUCGUCCGAACAGCUGCAAAGAAGUUCUCAUCGGAUGGCGUUCUUCAAUGAAGAUCCUUCAAAACUCCGAUACUCAAGUCAGAAGAUGAAGAACAAUGAGAGAAGAG
rnacentral:lncRNA from 1 species